rnacentral:ribozyme from 14 species
UGGAAUAAAGAAAUAAAAAGAGAAGAAGGAAGAGGAGAAGAAGAGGAAAAAUGAAUCCGGUUUGUCAUUGUUGUUCGUCGUCAUCCUCCGUAUCCUCUUUUUUUCUUUCUUUU